rnacentral:ncRNA from 1 species
UGGUUGCUACCGUGGAGGGCACCCGACGAGACGCGCCGUACCGGGGCAAGGCAAAGACGACGCACA